CCCUUAGAUGUUCUGGGCCGCACACGCGCUACACUGAAGGAGGCAGCGUGUACUCCUGGAUCGAAAGAUUUGGGUAACCCGCGAAUCUCCUUCGUGCUAGGGAUUGAGGUUUGCAAUUAUCCUUCAUGAACGAGGGAUUCCCAGUAAGUGCAAGUCAUAAGCUUGCGCUGACUACGUCCCUGCCCUUUGUACACACCGCCCGUCGCUACUACCGAUUGAAUGAUUUAGUGAGGACUUCGGACUGGGACCGAUGCGGCUUUCGGGCUGCGUCGGUAUUCUGGAAAGAUGUCCAAACUGUAUCAUUUAGAGGAAGUAAAAGUCGUANCA
rnacentral:rRNA from 1 species